rnacentral:rRNA from 1 species
AGAGUUUGAUCCUGGCUAAGGAUGAACGCUAGCGGCAGGCUUAACACAUGCAAGUCGAGGGGCAGCGCGAUGGUAGCAAUACUAUUGGCGGCGACCGGCGCAAGGGUGCGUAACGCGUGAGCAACUUGCCCGCAACAGGAGGAUAACCAGAGGAAACUCUGACUAAAACUGCAUAAGAUAAUAGAUAGGCAUCUAUCAGAUAUAAAAGAUACGUUGGUUGCGGAUAGGCUCGCGUGACAUUAGCUAGAUGGAGAGGUAACGGCUCACCAUGGCGACGAUGUCUAGGGGUUCUGAGAGGAAGGUCCCCCACACUGGAACUGAGACACGGUCCAGACUCCUACGGGAGGCAGCAGUGAGGAAUAUUGGACAAUGGUCGGAAGACUGAUCCAGCCAUGCCGCGUGAAGGAUAAGGUCCUAUGGAUUGUAAACUUCUUUUGUACGAGAGGAAUAAGGUAUAUGAAUAUAUCGAUGACAGUAUCGUACGAAUAAGCAUCGGCUAACUCCGUGCCAGCAGCCGCGGUAAUACGGAGGAUGCAAGCGUUAUCCGGAUUUAUUGGGUUUAAAGGGUGCGUAGGCAGAAGAUUAAGUCAGCGGUGAAAUGUAUAUGCUCAACAUAUAACGUGCCGUUGAAACAGGUUUACUAGGAUACGAAUGCUGUGGGAGGAAUGUGUAAUGUAGCGGUGAAAUGCAUAGAUAUUACACAGAACACCGAUUGCGAAGGCAUCUCACAAAUUCGUCAUUGAUGCUGAGGCACGAAAGUGCGGGGAUCAAACAGGAUUAGAUACCCUGGUAGUCCGCACAGUAAACGAUGAUAACUCGCUGUUGGUACGAGCGUAUCAGUAGCCAAGCGAAAGCGAUAAGUUAUCCACCUGGGGAGUACGACCGCAAGGUUGAAACUCAAAGGAAUUGACGGGGGCCCGCACAAGCGGAGGUACAUGUGGUUUAAUUCGAUGAUACGCGAGGAACCUUACCCGGGCUCGAACGGCAAAUGAACGACUCAGAGAUGAGAAGGUCCUUCGGGACAUUUGUCGAGGUGCUGCAUGGUUGUCGUCAGCUCGUGCCGUGAGGUGUCGGCUUAAGUGCCAUAACGAGCGCAACCCUUGUCGUCAGUUACCAGCGCGUAAAGGCGGGGACUCUGGCGAGACUGCCACCGUAAGGUGAGAGGAGGGGGGGGAUGACGUCAAAUCAGCACGGCCCUUACGUCCGGGGCGACACACGUGUUACAAUGGUCGGUACAGAGGGUAGCUACCUAGUGAUAGGAUGCCAAUCUCAAAAACCGAUCUCAGUUCGGAUCGGAGUCUGCAACUCGACUCCGUGAAGUUGGAUUCGCUAGUAAUCGCGCAUCAGCCAUGGCGCGGUGAAUACGUUCCCGGGCCUUGUACACACCGCCCGUCAAGCCAUGGAAGCUGGGGGUGCCUGAAAAUCGUGACCGCAAGGAGCGGCCUAGGGCAAAACUAGUAACUGGGGCUAAGUCGUAACAAGGUAGAG